ensembl:lncRNA
CAGCAGCGCGCCCCCUGAACGAUAACGAAGAGGUCAGUGAGAAGCCUGACCACGGAGACCGGGCAACGAUAAAAGACCGUCGGAAUAUUCGGUAGAGAUCCGAUAGACCAGAAGGCUGCAAUUAACAUCCAUGCCAAACGGUGGAGCUGCUCGAUAGCAAACCAAGCCUGCGGCCAAACGGAGAAGGUUUGGCAUACAUGAAGAAUCAGCUUGACACAAUCACACAGGACAAGACUGAGCAUCUAAGGCAGCAUUCAUCUGAUGAAGAGGACUUCUUCUCAUCACUGACAACCAAACGGUCAGAAGGUACAGGGGAGCUGGAUGGGUAUCUUGCUGGUCCAUUGGACAAAAUUGUUUCUGUACAUAAAGAAGUUGUCCCUCAAACUCAACACAGGCCUGCCUGCAUCUGCCGC